rnacentral:lncRNA from 1 species
CUUGAGAGUGCCUUUUACUUAUGAUCCAAUUUGCAAAUUUCUUCUACAAUAUAAGUUUAAAGUUUUCUUUGAUAAUGGGUUUAUAGAUGUAGAGCCGAAAAGGACCUCAGAAAUCACCUUAUGCAAAUUCCUUAUUAUACAGAGAAGGAAAAUGAAGCAUAGGGAAAUCAAAUAAUUAGUCCAAAGUCAGGAAGCAUAGAGUUCAAGUCAUAUUUCACACCAUUCCACUAACAUAGGGCAAUAUUGCUACUGUUGGCAACAGGGACUUGAUUGAGAAGCUUUUGAAUAAUGUGCCUCAGGAAAAGUGAGCCCCCAUCCCUAAAGGCCUCAUUUAGCUAUCUGCCACAUGGAAGAGACUAUUGAAAAGAGCCCCCAUCCCUGAAGACCUUGUUCAGCUAUGGAGCACAUGGAGGACCCUAAAGAAAAGUCAUUCUUGAAGGCUUCACUCAGCUAUGUGGCCCAUGGAAAAGUUUGUGGAAAAGAGUCUUCACCCUGAAGAUCUUGUGUUUGUGGCACAUGGAGAAGCCUGAGGAAAAGGGUCCUUACCCCUGAAGGCCUCUGUCAACUAUUUGCUACAAGGCCUUCAGAGAUGGCAAUAAAUCUGCUGUUGGAGCAAGGGGUGAGAGAGACCUUUCUUGAGCUGGCAUGAUCAAUGGCUGGGAGAAGUAUGAAGUGGCAAGAUCCAGAAGGAUUAUUUGACACAGGCCCAAUUGAAAGGGUUCAGAGACAACCUAAAAAGUUGAGUAGUCACAAUCCGGGAUGAUGGACAUCCAAUAACUAUUCUCUGCUUGCUUCUGCUUAUUCAAGAAUUCUGCCUGCUGUGGGGGAGGGCAGGGAAAAGGAGGAGGGGGUAGGAUAGAUACUAAUGAAAAACUAAUGUUGAAAAUAAUGGAGAGAAAAAAGAGGACCCAAUAAGAACCAUUUAUGACUCACAAUUCACAGGAAACAGGCAAGAGCAACAAAAAUAUCGACUCAU